rnacentral:misc_RNA from 1 species
AAGUCGUAACAAGGUCUCCGUAGGUGAACCUGCGGAGGGAUCAUUACCGAGAGAGGGCCUCCGGGCCCGACCUCCAACCCUUUGUGAACCAACCUCGUUGCUUCGGGGGCGACCCUGCCGUUCGCGGCGGCGGCGCCCCCGGAGGCCAUCAAACACUGCGUAACUUUGCGUCGGAGUCUUGAUUAAAUCAAACAAAACUUUCAACAACGGAUCUCUUGGUUCUG